AGCCUCUGCUUCCUCUGCUUCCAUUCCAUUGUAUGCCACCACUGGACUGAUCGUAGGGAUUAUUAUCAUCAGUGGGAUAGCAUGGUUGAUCUAUAAAAAGAAAAUCAAAUCAAAAGGAAAGCCAUCUGCACAACUUCCCAGAGCUCAGGCUGCUCUUGAAAUUCCAGGAGAUGAAUGUUCCCCGUACGCAGUGAGCGGCAGCAAAGACUUGCAAAGAAAUGAAGUGUUCUAUUCACUUGCAACAAGCCCAUAUGAGGACUCAAAUGCAACCUAUUGUACAGUGGAUAAUACUGCAGCAUCUGGCAAGGGGCCAGGAGAUGAAAUACAUACAGUCUAUGCAGUGGUGCCACAA